UCAAUCUUGCCCUGAAGGCAGCUCUGUCUCAAGGACAUAAUGAAUGUGAUUGGUUCAAUUAAAGCUCAAUGGUCAGUGGGCAGAGCUUACAGUGCCCAGUGCGAGUUAAAUACACUUGCUAGGUGAUAAAUUGGUGUUGAAUGGAAGGCAUAACACAAGGUUGCUGGAAUGAAUUUUGUUUUCUAACCUCACUCCAACCCCUAAACAAUUAUUCUUACCUAAACUUAACCCAACCCUAGCUAGAGUCCCAGGUCUGUUUAGUGCUGUCUUGCCAACUCCUACUAGCUAGAGUCCCAGGUCUGUUUAGUGCUGUCUUGCCAACUCCUACUAGCUAGAGUCCCAGGUCUGUUUAGUGCUGUCUUGUCAACUCCUACUAGCUAGAGUCCCAGGUCUGUUUAGUGCUGUCUUGCCAACUCCUACUAGCUAGAGUCCCAGGUCUGUUUAGUGCUGUCUUGCCAACUCCUACUAGCUAGAGUCCCAGGUCUGUUUAGUGCUGUCUUGCCAACUCCUACUAGCAAGAGUCCCAGGUCUGUUUAGUGCUGUCUUGCCAACUCCGACUAGCUAGAGUCCCAGGUCUGUUUAGUGCUGUCUUGCCAACUCCGACUAGCUAGAGUCCCAGGUCUGUUUAGUGCUGUCUUGCCAACUCCGACUAGCUAGAGUCCCAGGUCUGUUUAGUGCUGUCUUGUCAACUCCUACUAGCUAGAGUCCCAGGUCUGUUUAGUGCUGUCUUGCCAACUCCUACUAGCAAGAGUCCCAGGUCCGUUUUUAAUAUGAAACUAAUCGUUGGAUAACAGAUCUACUCUCGGAACUAAUUUACACACGUUACUGUGUGUGUUUCGAUUCUCUCUCGCACAAACACACACACACACACGCUCACCCUCUAUAACCACUCUUUAUAUUUACAGUGGUGAUGGACAGCUGAAGGCAUUUCGUUGUGAAUUCUGAAAACAAGCCAACCUAACUCAGAAAUACAUUUCAC